UAGAAAAUUACAGUUUGUCUGAAACUCCAAACAAUAAAUGACUUUUAUCUGUUGAGGUAACUGUGUGACAAACAGUGGCUUUGAUGUUGAAGAAUAUGAAAUUCAAUUAGUUUGACUGUAAAUCAUAGUAUUUUUAAUCCAUAUUAAGUAGUAACACUAUAUUAUAUUGUACAGACAUUGUUCAACGGUAUGAGUUGUUUGGUAUGGUGGCAAUAUGAAAUCACCCUCUGACAAACGGUUUGUUCUUCUUUGAAGUUUCACACAUACACGCGUGCAUUUCACCACAAAUUACUGAUGUUGAACAGUAUGACAAAUUGUUGCAUGCAUCGGUAUAUGUGAGUGAAUGAAAAUUGACCGUGCGUGUCAGUUUUCAUAACAAAAAAAAUUGAGAAAGCAUCGAAAACAAACGCAAUUCAGUUCUUGUUUUAGGCUUUGUUAACAUAAAUCAAUCGUCGCAGAGAAUCGGUCAUCGUAUCCAAGGCGGCGUACGGUUAGUUGCCAAUGCUUUCUACCCGGAGGAGUUCACGUCUUCGAUAUUGGUGGGCAGCUGUCGAACCUGACGGUAUUGCUUCGCAGGUAGUGGAACUUGCAUCCCCAUCAUCCUAAAUGUGUCCGCGGAACUGUUUGUUCAUCCACGCCAUGUUCUGGAGCGGUUUCGGAGUUCUACUAAGGCGACGGUACUUCCACCGCUGGUAUCGCCAAAGUGCAGAUCAACUCACCAUUGAUUCGAGGUUGAAAUCAUCUUUGUUACAACCAGAGGUGUAGCUGCUCAAAACUUACCUUCUGCAUACGUAUUGUAUCAGCCAAGAGCUCAGCGCUCAAGUUCUUCCAGAAGCAUCCCGGAUGUUUUUCUGCUAACCGAAGUAUGCAAGCUAGGAAACAUCAAACGAUGAUGUUGAAAAAGCAGUAGGCGACUGUGAGAAAAUACUUUUUUUUGCAUGAUUUUGUCCUUUGGAUGUUUGUUUUUGAAAAUAAAUAGACAUAGGAGAAAAACUAGUUGUUUUUUAUUACCAUGAAUAAGAAAAUUGCCAAUUAUUACAACUGUAUGAAAACUAUUUACCAAAAGGCAAUGGAACCAUAAUGCACUGUAAAGCAAUAAUUACACAAACAGUGCUUAUUUUUGUUCC